rfam:Ciona savignyi cont_31163, whole genome shotgun sequence.
UCCUCGUUAGUAUAGUGGUGAGUAUCCCCGCCUGUCACGCGGGAGACCGCGGUUCGAUUCCCCGACGGGGAG